AGUAAUACAAACUUGGUUCAGUGGCGCACGGGUGCGUAACACGUGAGCAAUCUGCCGGGAAGUGGGGGAUAGCUCGCCGAAAGGCGAAUUAAUACCGCAUGUGGCCAUUCUUCGAGUGGAGGAAAAGCCAAAGCAGCAAUGCGCUUCCUGAUGAGCUCGCGGCCUAUCAGCUCGAUGGCGGGGUAAUGGCCCACCAUGGCUUUGACGGGUAGCUGGUCUGAGAGGACGACCAGCCACACUGGAACUGAGACACGGUCCAGACACCUACGGGUGGCAGCAGUCGAGAAUUUUUCACAAUGGGGGCAACCCUGAUGGAGCGACGCCGCGUGGAGGAUGAAGGCCUUCGGGUUGUAAACUCCUGUCAUGCGGGAACAAGCAAGUGAUAGUACCGCAAGAGGAGGAGACGGCUAACUCUGUGCCAGCAGCCGCGGUAAUACAGAGGUCUCAAGCGUUGUUCGGAUUCAUUGGGCGUAAAGGGUGCGUAGGUGGUGAUGCAAGUCUGGUGUGAAAUCUC
rnacentral:rRNA from 1 species